rnacentral:rRNA from 1 species
AUGCAAGUCGAACGAAGUAGCAAUACUUAGUGGCAGACGGGUGAGUAACAUGUAGGUAUCUUCCCUUUGGCCUGGAAUAACACGAGGAAACUUGUGCUAAUACCGGAUAAGUCUUCACAGAGAAAGCUUUAUGCACCGAUGGAUGAGCCUGCACUUGAUUAGUUUGUUGGUAGGGUAAUGGCCUACCAAGACUGUGAUCAAUAGCUGAUUUGAGAGGAUGAUCAGCCACAUUGGGACUGAGACACGGCCCAAACUCCUACGGGAGGCAGCAGUGGGGAAUCUUGCACAAUGGAGGAAACUCUGAUGCAGCGAUGCCGCGUGAGUGAAGAAGGCCUUUGGGUUGUAAAGCUCUUUCGUCGGGGAAGGAAAUGACUGUACCCGAAUAAGAAGGUCCGGCUAACUUCGUGCCAGCAGCCGCGGUAAUACGAAGGGACCUAGCGUAGUUCGGAAUUACUGGGCUUAAAGAGUUCGUAGGUGGUUGAAAAAGUUGGUGGUGAAAUCCCAGAGCUUAACUCUGGAACUGCCAUCAAAACUUUUCAGCUAGAGUUUGAUAGAGGAAAGCAGAAUUUCUAGUGUAGAGGUGAAAUUCGUAGAUAUUAGAAAGAAUACCAAUUGCGAAGGCAGCUUUCUGGAUCAUUACUGACACUGAGGAACGAAAGCAUGGGUAGCGAAGAGGAUUAGAUACCCUCGUAGUCCAUGCCGUAAACGAUGUGUGUUAGACGUUGGAAAUUUAUUUUCAGUGUCGCAGCGAAAGCGAUAAACACACCCGCCUGGGGAGUACGACCGCAAGGUUAAAACUCAAAUGAAUUGACGGGGACCCGCACAAGUAGUGGAGCAUGUGGUUUAAUUCGAAGAUACGCGCAGAACCUUUACCAACACUUGACAUGUUCGUCCGCGACUUUUAAGAGAUUAAAGUUUU